AACUGGAGUUUUCUGUGAAGCAGCCACAUGAAAAAUGAAACCAGGAAGAUACUGCUGGUCCUAGCAACACUAUUCUAGCCAGUUGAAACCUCUCUCUUCCUUCAAAGACUACCUUUCAUGCUGCCUCCUCCAUGAAGCCUUCUCUGGAUACCACCAAUCCUCCACCAGCUGAAUUCAACCCUGGGAGUGAAAGAUCACCCCCCCCAAAAAAUAAAAAGUGGAAAGAGAAGAGAGAGAGGGCUAAAGACAGAGCCUUGAGGGAUUGGUAUCUGUGGGUAGAUCUGAGCCUACUUGUCAACACAGGAGGAUAGAGAAUUGAAGAGAACCUUAGGUGUCCCUCUUCUUACAAAGAAGGAAACUGAGGCCCAAAUGGAAGCCUAGAGAGAAUUACAAAGGCCCAUAUUGGUAUUGCAAAAGCUCUCCAAAGCAUGGGAGCCAUGGGCCCUAAUUAUACACUGUGCUGCACACAAAAGGCUUUGUUUUGUCUCUCCCACUAGGUGUAAAAACCCACAGCUCACUUUGCAGCUUCUCAGGGGCAAGUGGGAAACAGGAGGAAGAGCCUAUUCAAUAUCUUUUAAAAGGAAAUAAAAUUGGCUCUUGGUUUCCAGGGCAGGGAGAGGCCAGUGGAGGGGGGGGAGGGGGUGGUGUCCAUGGUUGUCAAGCCUGGAUGUGGCAACACCUCCACACCCCACAGUCCUUAUUUCAAGAUAUGCUUCAUCAUACACGAAAACAUGUAACCCUCCAAGUUCAAGACUGCUGAUAAAACAAGUGAAAAACUGUACUCAGAUUACAGGGAAGAAAAUCCAGGGCAUUCAAUUCAACUUGGAGAACAUUUACUAAGUGCCUGUUAUGUCCAAGAUCAAAGGCACAACCACAGAGCCCCAGAAACCCUGUGAAGCCACAGCAAGUGUGUCUGGGACUCUCCUUCCCUCCUAGGCGAGCACUUCUUCUGCACCCAGGGAAAAGCCCCUCCAGAAGCCAGUGCCAGAGGGAGCGUCGCGCCUAGACCACAUCUGCGGUCCCACCUCACUGCCAGAGUGCCCGCACACCUCUACUUCACACAUUCUACGUUAGCACCUCAUCAUCCUGGUUCUAGACCGCCCUGGGCCUCGCUGCAGCCCCUCCAUCGGCCCACGCCUGUUACCCACCCCUGCUCGUCAUGGGGGAAGUUCCUAUGUCCAACUGUUCUUCAUCCCCAUUUCUCCCUUGCCCAUUCUUUCCUAUUUGAGGGGAAGGAGAUGGAGAAGCACAUGAGGGCAGCUCCCCUGUUAUCCCCACUCCACCAUGGCUGCCCUUUUGUGUACUGUUCCAUUAUUAGUUUUUUAAAAUUCUAAACUUAACAAACUCCUAAUCAAACGAGCACAUCCACAUGCACUGGAGGGGAAAAGGACUGUACAGGAAACUGCAAAUCUCCCUGAUGUCCAGCAGGUUUUCUGUUCGAGUACAAUAAAUUCAAUGCCUCUAACUCUCAGAGCCAUCGGACCUGUCUGCGUGCCUUCUGUUCUCUCCUCAUCUUUGGGGGGCCAGGAAUCUCUGACUCUAACCUCGCCUUCUCCCUUUCCCUCUUUCCCCAAGGUAGCAGGGUGGCACAGCAGAGUGCUGUACGUGGAGUCAGGACAACCCGACUUCAAAUGCUGCUUCAGACAUCUGUGCUGCCACUCAGUUAACCUUCUCAGCCUCAGUUUUCUCAUGUGUAAGAUGGAGAUACUAACAGCACCGGCCUCUUGUUGUGAAGAUCAAAUGGGGGGAUCGUGUGUAAAUUGCUUUGUAAACUGUAAAGCACCACAUAAAUGCCAUAAUG